CACAAGGGGUGGAACUGCGGCUCAAUUGGAGUCAACGCCUGGAAUCUUACCGGAGGAGACCGCAGUGUGACGGUCAGGCUAAUGACCUUACCUGACUCGCGGAGAGGAGGUGCAUGGCCGUCGCCAGCUCGUGUUGUGAAAUGUCCGGUUAAGUCCGGCAACGAGCGAGACCCCCACCUCUAAUUGGCAUUCUCUCCCCCGGGAGGGACCCA
rnacentral:rRNA from 1 species